AGAAGUCUGCGCAAGAAACUGGAGGCGAGCACGUGUGGGGCGCCCUCCACCAUGAGCAAAACUCGUGCUCUUCUCACUUAGGUCAAAUUGUAUGUAAUGGAAGCUAAAGCCACUGUAGGUAAAAGGAUAAGUGAAUAAUUGAAUCUCACAGCCAAACCACACACACUCGAAUUCAUGGAACCUUUGUUCCAAAAGGAGUGAGUUAACCUCCGAAGAAAUUAGGGUUUCCCCUAAUUUCGGCAUAUUAAUUACACAACUUCAUGAUCGUGAAGGCGACGAUGACGACGACGACGAUGAUGGUGGCACCUUUGUCGCACCAGCUGCCUAAUUUAAUUACUCCCAUCUUUUAAAACCUAAAAAAUCUACAUAUACAAUGUGUGUAUGUAUGCGUGUGUGUUUGUGUGUUUUCUUACAUAUAUAAAUAUGAAUUAAAAAAAAAAGGUUGUCCUAAUGAGAGUAGUUGGAGUGAUGAUGGAGUUAUAGAUAGACUGCUAUAUAUAUUUUGAUAUACAUCAAUAAAUUAUAUAUACUUGCGUUUUUCUU